UAGUUGAGAAUAGCUUUUUAUUUUCAUUCUUGAAAAUGUUAAUUCCAUUUUACUCUUGUUCUGUUCUCAGCAUCUUUCUGUGUAACCCGAGCUAGCCUUCACCUCUCAGUCCCCUUUCCUAGCCUACCAGGUACUGAGAUCACAGGUUUGUGCCAGGCUGAUAUUUCCGUGAUCCUGAUAGCACUGAAAACAGACUUCAAGAUGCUGAUGCUGUGUUUGUGUUGCGUUCUGUUUUGAAACAGGCUCCAUGUAGUCCAGGGUGGCCUGAAACCUUUUAUGCAGCUGAGGAUUAUAGGCGUUAGCCAUGACCAUGCCAGCAAGAUGCCCAUCUUGAUUGCAGGACAUUUCGGAUGGUCUACAAGGUCAUCAAAUUAUUUGGCCUCUUUAUUUUCACUUCCUUUGCCAGAACAGGAUGGUGCUAUGACUACCUCAUGAUGUUAUCUUUGUUCAGCUGUUGCUUAUUUUUUCUUUUUAUUAAGUUUUAUGUGUGAGUACUUACCUAGACGUCUAGUUCAGUGGUAAUGGUUUGGCCAUACUUAACAGUGACAGCAUACUGUUGUUAAAUUGUGUUUUUAAAAUUAGAGGUGCGGUACUCCCCGUGUGUACUUAAAAUGCUUUGUGUGUUUAAAGAUUGGGAAAGUCUCCGCUAUAAUAUUGAAAGAAAAUUAUAUGUGAUCUUUUAGAAUGUAGGCAUCUGAGAUACACAGACUAUGUUCUCCCUUUGCAUUUUCAAACACAAUGCUCUUCAUUUGAGAGUUAACUGUUUUUUCUGUUUUUGUAAAAUAAUAUAAGGUCUUCUUAGCUUUGUAUCUCAAGUAUUUUAAUGAACUGAACACUAAGUAUUUAGUUUUUGGUGAAUUAUCUAACUUCUGCUCUGUUACUGUUGUGUAAAGAAACAGUAUCAACCAAUCUCCAACAGAAGAUUCCCUCCCCCAGGGCCUGGUGCAGGCCUGGGAGACCAGCACUCUGGAGGCUAUGGCUAGUUGCUGUAUUUGAGGCUAGACAGUCUCACACAGCAGCAAGACAGAACAGAGCAGGGGUUGCUUCUUCUUGGUUCUCAGUUUAGUAAAACGUGUCCAGUUUUUUCUCUUGAUGUAACAGACUUAAAAGUCUAGAAGGAAAAACUAGAUAUGGUGGUGAGCUAAUGCCAUAGCUCAGCAGGAAGAAGAAGGGAAUUCUCUGAUUUGGAAGCCGGCCAGGUCUACAUAAUGAGCAUUGUCUAGGCCAGCUAAAGCUCCAGAGUGAGAACCUGUCUUAGGUUCUUAUUACCCCUACAAAAAAAAUCUACAAGACACUACAUUGAUAGGACCAUUCCCUCCAUUUAAGACUCGAUUUAACUAGGUAAUAACAUUGCUAUGAAUGGAGUCUUCAUAAAAGGAACUUGCCUUCUCUCAUGAUAUCAAACCCUUUAACUUCUGUUUCUUUUUAUCUGCUAAAGCUCUUAGUGUUGAGGCUCCACAGAAGAGUUAACCACUGUCAGGUGUGAUGACAUUGAGUAGUCUGACUUAGGCAGGAGGAUAAAGAGUUCCUGCCCACCCUGGUCCACACUGUGGGAUCCAUCUCAAACACAAAACAACAGCAAAGAACUCUAGUAUUAUAAACUUACUAGUAGUGACAAUAGAAAUAAGCUAGGCAGAACUAGAAGGCAAGAGAGGUUACUGCACUGGUACCCUGGGCUAGCUCACAAGGAGUGCCAGGAGUACACACAGCCUUGUGCUUUCUUUUCUACAGACUCACAACAGGAAUUAUUUGAAAUUACACUGCUGCAGACAGAGUUUCCCUCCAGUGUUGAUGCCCUUUGAGAGAGUAGCAGGAGGCCACUGAGAACAGAAUACUUCUUUUUAUUGUUUUUUUGUUUGUUUGUUUUUCGAGACAGGGUUUUUCUGUGGCCCUGGCUGUCCUGGAACUCACUUUGUAGACCAGGCUGGCCUCGAACUCAGAAAUCCACCUGCCUCUGCCUCUGCCUCCCAAGUGCUGGGAUUAAAGGCAUGUGCCACCACGCCUGGCAAUUAUUGUUUAUUUUUUUUAAUGUGAUAACUUUCAGACAAACCUUCUAGUAUGUUGUAGGGGCAUCUUUCUAGCUGUUUUAAGUGGGCAUCAUCGGAUAGUUUUCAGAACUCCUGCUGAGCAGGCAGUUGUCCUGAGAAAAGUGCUUUCCUGCCUGAGCAUUUGGCUAACUGAAGCAUGCAAGGAAGGCUGGUAGCAGUCUUCAAAGUUGACAAAGUACAAAGGUGAAUUUCAAAAGCAUAUAUAUAUAUAUUCUACUAUUCCUAACAAAUUAAAGCCAUUGCU
rnacentral:lncRNA from 1 species